AGUCGAGCGGAACGACGUUAUCUGAACCUUCGGGGAACGUUAAGGGCGUCGAGCGGCGGACGGGUGAGUAAUGCCUAGGAAAUUGCCCUGAUGUGGGGGAUAACCAUUGGAAACGAUGGCUAAUACCGCAUGAUGCCUACGGGCCAAAGAGGGGGACCUUCGGGCCUCUCGCGUCAGGAUAUGCCUAGGUGGGAUUAGCUAGUUGGUGAGGUAAUGGCUCACCAAGGCGACGAUCCCUAGCUGGUCUGAGAGGAUGAUCAGCCACACUGGAACUGAGACACGGUCCAGACUCCUACGGGAGGCAGCAGUGGGGAAUAUUGCACAAUGGGCGCAAGCCUGAUGCAGCCAUGCCGCGUGUGUGAAGAAGGCCUUCGGGUUGUAAAGCACUUUCAGUCGUGAGGAAGGUGGUGUAGUUAAUAGCUGCAUUACUUGACGUUAGCGACAGAAGAAGCACCGGCUAACUCCGUGCCAGCAGCCGCGGUAAUACGGAGGGUGCGAGCGUUAAUCGGAAUUACUGGGCGUAAAGCGCAUGCAGGUGGUUUGUUAAGUCAGAUGUGAAAGCCCGGGGCUCAACCUCGGAAUAGCAUUUGAAACUGGCAGACUAGAGUACUGUAGAGGGGGGUAGAAUUUCAGGUGUAGCGGUGAAAUGCGUAGAGAUCUGAAGGAAUACCG
rnacentral:rRNA from 1 species